AAGUCGUAACAAGGUUUCCGUAGGUGAACCUGCGGAAGGAUCAUUAACACUUAUUAUUAUCCAAUAUCAAAAAUAAAACCAAACGGCAUCUUUUCUUCUCCCUAUUUCGACUACCGGAGACGGGUCGAUUAGGCUAACCUUUUUUUUUAAAAACUUUAACCCCAUUUAAUUUAUGUCUAUUUAAUAUAUAGAUAUAAACAAAACCAACUCUUCUUUUGUUCAAGUGCGGUUUUACAUCACACAAACAACAAUAAGAACUAAACUAAAAUAUACAUUUGAUUAUAUUUUUAUUUUACGAAAUAAUAUAUAUUUAUAAGAACAACUCUUAGCAAUGGAUAUCUUGGUUCUC
rnacentral:misc_RNA from 1 species